UGUGGUGCACUGUGAGAGCGACACCUUAUUUUUCCGAAAGAAAAAAAAACACUCGAUUGAGGAAAUUGACACCGUGGAAUAAAAGAAAAGGAAAUUGACCGAUUGUUGCUCUCUCAGAGAGAGAGAGAGAGAGAGAGAGCGAUGACUCGGGGAAAGCAGAAGAUCGAAGCGCAGAGAAGAAAUGCGGAGAGGAAUCAGAAGCCAAAAGGGUCUCAGUUUGAGGCCAGAGCCGUUGCUCUCAAAAUCAGCUGUCCAAUCUGCAAGGCGCAACUUGCAAACGCAAAGCAACUUGCUGAUCACUAUGCUUCCAAACAUCCCAGAGAACAGCCUCCAGCUGAACCAGAAUGAUCCUUUUCUCAUGUUAAGAAUGAUGAAAAAAGUAGUAAAAUAUCUCUCUUUUAGAACAAUGUAUUUCAAUAAAUUUGUUCUACAUUGACUCUUAUGAAAUCGCCCAACCUCCCCCCCUGUUUGUGAACCAUUGUACGACUAUGAAGGAUACUUGAUACCA